rnacentral:rRNA from 1 species
UACAGAGGUGGCAAGCGUUGUUCGGAAUUACUGGGCGUAAAGGGCGCGUAGGCGGUUCUGUAAGUCCCGCGUGAAAUCCCCCGGCUCAACUGGGGAACUGCGCGGGAAACUGUGGGGCUAGAGUUCAGGAGAGGGAAGCGGAAUUCCGGGUGUAGCGGUGAAAUGCGUAGAUAUCAGGAGGAACACCGAUGGCGAAGGCAGGUCUCUGGGCCACUACUGACGCUGAGAAGCGGAAGCAUGGGGAGCGAACAGG